UACGUAGGGAGCGAGCGUUAUCCGGAUUUAUUGGGUGUAAAGGGUGCGUAGACGGGUAAUCAAGUUAGUUGUGAAAUCCCUCGGCUUAACUGAGGAACUGCAACUAAAACUGGUUGUCUUGAGUGCAGGAGAGGUAAGUGGAAUUCCUAGUGUAGCGGUGAAAUGCGUAGAUAUUAGGAGGAACACCAGUGGCGAAGGCGACUUACUGGACUGUAACUGACGUUGAGGCACGAAAGUGUGGGGAGCAAACAGG
rnacentral:rRNA from 1 species